rnacentral:rRNA from 1 species
UAGGGAAUCUUCGGCAAUGGACGAAAGUCUGUCCGAGCAACGCCGCGCGAGUGAAGAAGGUUUUCGGAUCGUAAAACUCUGUUGUUUUAGAAGAACAAGGACGUUAGUAACUGAACGUCCUCUGACGGUAUCUAACCAGAAAGCCACGGCUACCUACGUGCCAGCAGCCGCGGUAAUACGUAGGUGGCAAGCGUCGUCCGGAUUUAUUGGGCGUAAAGCGAGCGCAGGCGGUUUCUUAAGUCUGAUGUGAAAGCCCCCGGCUCAACCGGGGAGGGUCAUUAGAAACUGGGAGACGUGAGUGCAGAAGGGGAGAGUGGAAUUCCAUGUGUAGCGGUGAAAUGCGUAGAUAUAUGGAGGAACACCAGUGGAGAAGGCGGCUCUCUGGUCUGUAACUGACGCUGAGGCUAGAAAGCGUGGGGAGCAAACAGG